CCUACUAGGCUUCUCCAUCCAUGGGAUUUUCUAAGCAAGAAUACAGGAGUGUGUUGCCAUUUUCUUCUCCAGGGAAUCUUCCUGACCCAGCUCCAGACUGUCUGCUGAUGGAUGGUACUCAUGCAUGGAAGAUCCAGUGGUGCUGAGCCUCUGAGCCACAAUCAUGGCUGGACAUGUAGGAGAUGGGUCAAGAGUGCUCAGAAGCGUUAGAAGGAGUCCUUAGGGAGAAGCAUUUGUGGCUGAGAGAGACGACCCUCACUUGUCAAAGACCUGCUUCUGCUAACCAGCUACCGUGUGCCUUGGGUGGGCCCUGGCCUCACCUACAGAAUGUUGGCUUUGUCCUGUCCUCAAAAGUGAGUAAGGCCAGCCACCAUGUCCUGAACCGACUGAAGGGAGACCCACGGGGUAACAGCUGGCACUGAAUCGAGAUCAUCAAUCCUAUUGCCCUUGAGAAACUGAAUCGUACCAACAAUCACGUGGGAGUAAUCCGAACACUAGGAGGUGAGAAAGAAGGGAAAUGCAAGAGAACAUUGAGCCUAAGAGAGGCUGAUGAUAAAAAUGUGGAUUUCAACUAAACCCACCAGGAACAGCUCU
ensembl:lncRNA